rnacentral:rRNA from 1 species
CAGCAGCCGCGGGAAUACGAAGGGUGCAAGCGUUAAUCGGAAUUACUGGGCGUAAAGCGUGCGUAGGCGGUGAGUUAAGUCUGCUGUGAAAUCCCCGGGCUCAACCUGGGAAUGGCAGUGGAUACUGGCUCGCUAGAGUGUGUCAGAGGAUGGUGGAAUUCCCGGUGUAGCGGUGAAAUGCGUAGAGAUCGGGAGGAACAUCAGUGGCGAAGGCGGCCAUCUGGGACAACACUGACGCUGAGGCACGUAAGCGUGGGGAGCAAACAGGAUUAGAUACCCCAGUAGUCCCUGUCUCUUAUAA